rnacentral:rRNA from 1 species
GACGAAGGGGGCUAGCGUUGUUCGGAAUUACUGGGCGUAAAGCGCGCGUAGGCGGUUGUCCAAGUUGGAUGUGAAAGCCUUGAGCUUAACUCAAGAAAUGCAUUCAGGACUGGAUGACUAGAGGACCGGAGAGGAUAGUGGAAUUCCCAGUGUAGUGGUGAAAUACGUAGAGAUUGGGAAGAACACCAGUGGCGAAGGCGGCUAUCUGGACGGUUUCUGACGCUAAGACGCGAAAGCGUGGGGAGCAAACAGG